rnacentral:lncRNA from 1 species
CCGAUGCCGUAUCCUGCCGCCCGUUUUACCCGCGGGAAAGCCGAGGCCCGGUGCUGUAUUCUGCCGCCCAUUUUACCCGCGGGGAAGCUGAGGCCCAGUGCUGUUUAAUAUCUUACUCAUGUUCACUUGAUGAGAAAGUGACAGAUCUGAGACAAACCCAGAUCGACAGAAAAGAAAUGAGUCAACGAUGGUGCAGGUGAUCUGUGCAGUGCUGUGCAGGGGAUGGGUCAAAGCUGUGAUGCUGGCAUGCAACUAACUCACCAUUAAAGGGACCAGCUUGACGAAGCUUCUGCUUUUGUGACUGUCUCCUAAUGGGAGAAGUGAAAUUCUACCUCACUUUUUUAAAAGAAGAGCCUGGAAUUGGCCUAUCCGUCUUUUUCCCCGUUGGAUCACAGAGCAGAAAGGAAGCUAAGACCUCUAGUACAGUGUUCAAUGGAACUGGUGAGAAAAGACGUCCUUGCUGUGUUCCUGAUAUGAAGAGGAAAGCAGUCCUUCUCCAUUAAAUGCUGACAACAUGAGCCUCCCGUGGUCGGAACGGGCUUGUGAAGGCGGUGCUGGGGUGCACCAGGGCAGCAGCUACAGGCCCUGCUGAAAGGGUUGACAAUGAAGACUCUCAGGCCACCGUAACUCAUGGAGAAGCCCUGAGCAUCUGGCCCGCUUAAUGCACCAGCUGGAGUCGACAUUAAAGGGCCCCAUUUCCCAUUUGCUGCAGAAGAUGUUUAAUUGGAAGUCUCUCCCUGUCCUUUUACCCUCUGGUGCUGGGCACCAAUGAGAAGCUCAUCUGGCCCCGGGAUCCUGGCAGGACACUGGGAGCACUAUUUCCAUGGGCAGCAGGGUUGUUCCUGGAGACAUCACUGACCCAGGACACCUAGCACAAUGGCACUCGAUGUGAAAGUGGCUUCGUACAAAUCUGCCACUCAAGCCUAAAUAAGUGCAUUCCAGAAGAGCCGCAGCCCCUCUAACAGCUCCUGAGGUGAGGGAAACCCUAGGGAUGGGAAGUUGGAGCAGAAAGAGAUGGUGGCCUGAAGUCAACUGCAGUGAAAAUCUCUCCCCAUCAGCAAGUUUUGCAAAGCUAUGGCCACAGGGACACAUGACUGGGGCCCCUCCUAGUCUUGGAAGGAGCCCCCAUGGAAAUGAGGGCCUCACAGUGAAUCCACCUCUGAUCCUACUUCACCUGCAGUCAAAUGAGAAGAGAUUUCAAUCAGCUAAAGACACCCUAUCCCCUCUCCCCGACCCCUGCGACCCCAGGAGCUCCUGCCUUGUCACUGUGUCCCCAAACGAACCGCAUCUGAAUCAAGCCCCUUUCUCUCCCUAGUGGUCAACAUCUGGGCUGUGAUGGGCAGCUCCCACUCUUGCCUUAGAAUAUGACUGGAGAGGUGACUUCUCAUCACAUGGAGAAUAUGUUCACCCCAUGGUGCUUUCCACCCAAGCUGACCAUGGCUUGACUUUUUGGUGUAGUUGCUAGCUCUGUGCCAUCCUUGGCAAUGUGACCCUGGAGCAGCUGUCCCCAGUGUGCAUUUGGGGGAUUUCAUGUAAUUAUGAAUAGGAUGCAAAUUUUAUAGCCCCAGUGAAGGGAAACACCCCUGGCGAGGCUUCCCGGGGCCAGAGAGAGGACUCCACUGAGGGAGAUGGUGGCAGGGCCAUUCUUUGUGUCCUGCUUUUUUUUUUUUUUUUUUUUUUAACAUCCUCUUUAUGUCCUGAGAGCCAUGUGCAGAUGAGGAAAAAUGACAUGCAAUGCAUUUUUGCCUGCCACAAUGACUUUGCAAUCAUAACAAGCAAAAUGUUCUAAACAGUAAGUGAAUCGAGGAAGAUAUACUGCCAAGUCAGGAAGAAAAAAUCCACCUGUUCAGUGAUUUCAGGAACUGCUGAAGAAAAUCACCAGUGAGUAUCAGUUUCUGCAAGAGAAUCUAAUGCAGGCUUUGCUUCUCAUCGGAAUCCCCCAGCUGGUGUCUUGGUUGACUGAGAGUCUGGGGGAGAGGGCAGAGAAUGGAUUUAUUCUCUGCUAGGUUUUUAACAGUCAAGAAGGGCUGUGGUCCUAAGGGGCACUGGUCAAACCUUAGUGUGCAUCAGAAUUAUCUGGAUAAGGCUAGGCACAGUGGCUCACGCCUGUAAUCACAGCACUUUGGGAGGCUGAGGCGCGUGGAUCACCUGAGGUCAGAAGUUCAAGACCAGCCUGGCUCUUUUAGUAGAGAAACCCUAUGUCUAUUAAAAAGUACAAAAUUUAGCCAGGUGUGGUGGUGAGUGCCUGUAAUCCCAGCUACUUGGGAGGCUGAGGCAGGACAGUCACUUGAAUCUAGGAGGCAGAGGUUGCAGUGAACUGAGAUCGUGCCAUUGUGCUCCAGCCUGGGCAACAAGAGUGAAACUCUAUCUC